UACGUAGGGUGCGAGCGUUAAUCGGAAUUACUGGGCGUAAAGCGUGCGCAGGCGGUUCGUUGUGUCGGUGGUGAAAUCCCCGGGCUUAACCUGGGAAUGGCCGUUGAAACUGGCGAACUGGAGUGUGGCAGAGGGGGGUGGAAUUCCGCGUGUAGCAGUGAAAUGCGUAGAGAUGCGGAGGAACACCGAUGGCGAAGGCAGCCCCCUGGGCUAACACUGACGCCUCAGGCACGAAAGCGUGGGGAGCAAACAGG
rnacentral:rRNA from 1 species